rnacentral:lncRNA from 1 species
AAGGGCCGAACCUCAUUAAAACAUUUUCACUGAAAACCCAGUGGGGAAAACCGUGAAAAGGAAAAAGAGUACUCGUCUAAACACAAAACGAAAGUAGGGAAGAGCGGAAGGGAAAGUUUCCGGAACUCCGGCCUAACCAUCGUCCCCAAACUAUCCCGGCUCUCACCCCACGGAAAAAAAAAAAAAAAAAAAAAAAAAAAAAACGGGCGGUUAGAACCAAACAGCCACCCAUCAGCCCCAACUACCGUUUUUGACGCAGAUGGCUAUGCGAAGCCAUGUCAAGACGAACCGCAGCCCUAAUCUCCUCAAUCUCGUGCGGCCACCACCCUUCCGAACGUUGUUGGUUAGCCAUUAUAUCGGCCGCCUUGUUUCCUUCUCUAAAGAUGUGAGAAACCUGCAGCGAGAAAGCAUCUAAC